GAAGUAUCCUACGAAGGGCCAGGGACAAGAAGGGGCAAGGCCUCUAAAAAUGUGAGAAGUUGCUUUGCGGGCAUUAGUCUCUCCUGGGAGCCAAAUUGGAGGGGACACUCAGAUGGAUUCCCUGAACCAUCCAGAAGCAAGUGCCAUGGAUUGGGGCCCACGGCAUACUGCUGAUGAGAGCUGGCUGAAGAUUUGAAAUUUUCAAAGAAGUUUUUUGGGGAACAGGCAAGCUAUAAAACCAGACAUACAAUGUAAAUCAAAAAUUGGAAGGAGGGAACAGAAAAUAAAGAAACAUAA